GUCUUUUUGAGUUUAAUUUAAAGUCUGAUCUGCCCACUGAUAAUAUUUAAGGGCCGCAGUAUUCUGACUGUGCAAAGGUAGCAUAAUCAUUAGUCUUUUAAUUGAGGGCUUGUAUGAAUGAUUGGACGAGAUAUAAUCUGUCUCAUAAAAAUUUAAGUAGAAUUUUAUUUUUUAGUUAAAAAGCUAAAAUAAAUUUAAAAGACGAGAAGACCCUAUAGAUCUUUAUAAUUUAUUUAUUAAUUUUUUUAGGUUAUUUUUUAAUUUUAUAAAUUAAAUUAUUUUGUUGGGGUGACAGUGAAAUUUAUAAAACUUUCAUAUUUUUUUUACAUUGAUUUAUGAUAAAUUGAUCCAUUUUUAGUGAUUAAAAAUUUAAGUUACCUUAGGGAUAACAGCGUAAUUAUUUUGGAGAGUUCUUAUCGAUAAAAUAGUUUGCGACCUCGAUGUUGGAUUAAGAUUAAUUCUGGGUGUAGCAGUUCAGGUUAUUAAGUCUGUUCGACUUUUAAUUUCUU
rnacentral:rRNA from 1 species